CUGUACUUAUCCUGGUGUUGAAAUUUCGUAAAUGGCGUGCUGGUUUCGUGAUCGCGAGGUGUUAAGUACGCUCGUAAUGAGAAUUGAGAGGCAUGGACUGGACGCCUACUGUGACGGCGAAGUCCAUCGGCAUGGGCUCUAGCAGUAACUCAUGCGGGUCAGUGUGUGCAGGCAUGGCUGCCCGAAACAAGCAUAUGCUCGGUCUAACGCCAAUUUGGUUAGGUUGGAUACAUGACAUUCACUUACGGAGUCUUGUUCUUGUUUGAUUCUCAUCCCUACAUUUCUGAACAAGAAAACCCUUUUGCUUCUCAAGAAAACAACGAUAUUUUUUUUUGUCUGCGCCGAGCACACAUGGAAGCACCUGGCAUUUGAAGGGUUGACGCGUCAUGGCUCAUGGGCAACGCCUGCCGAGCUGCGGUUUCCUGUGUGACCCUCACAAUUAAGCGGCUGCACAGCAACAGCAGAUUGUGCCUUCUUCCAGUCCUCUCCGGGAGCUGCAGGCACUCUAUCUCUCGUUGCUUCCGGCAAAAUCCAGUGGAAAUUACAGCCCCGGUCACUGGACAAACCCUGACCGACAAAAAUUGAGGCUAGCAGGAUGAGAUUCUGGUCUCUGCUCAUUGUAGCAUGGAUGCCAGUUCUGCAGGUCCUCCUCGUAGGCUUGCUCGGAGCUCUUCUUCCAUCCAAUCGUUUAGCAUCCUCACAUCUGAUGCUCGCAGGGACAUCAAUAAGGAUUUUAUUCGUUGUUGCUGAACGUGAUGGGUUAAGGUGGUUCAUGCCAGUAAACAUGGGUAUCA